rnacentral:rRNA from 1 species
AUUGAACGCUGGCGGCAGGCCUAACACAUGCAAGUCGAGCGGUAGCACAGAGAGCUUGCUCUCGGGUGACGAGCGGCGGACGGGUGAGUAAUGUCUGGGAAACUGCCUGAUGGAGGGGGAUAACUACUGGAAACGGUAGCUAAUACCGCAUAAUGUCGCAAGACCAAAGUGGGGGACCUUCGGGCCUCAUGCCAUCAGAUGUGCCCAGAUGGGAUUAGCUAGUAGGUGGGGUAACGGCUCACCUAGGCGACGAUCCCUAGCUGGUCUGAGAGGAUGACCAGCCACACUGGAACUGAGACACGGUCCAGACUCCUACGGGAGGCAGCAGUGGGGAAUAUUGCACAAUGGGCGCAAGCCUGAUGCAGCCAUGCCGCGUGUGUGAAGAAGGCCUUCGGGUUGUAAAGCACUUUCAGCGGGGAGGAAGGCGGUGAGGUUAAUAACCUCAUCGAUUGACGUUACUCGCAGAAGAAGCACCGGCUAACUCCGUGCCAGCAGCCGCGGUAAUACGGAGGGUGCAAGCGUUAAUCGGAAUUACUGGGCGUAAAGCGCACGCAGGCGGUCUGUCAAGUCGGAUGUGAAAUCCCCGGGCUCAACCUGGGAACUGCAUUCGAAACUGGCAGGCUAGAGUCUUGUAGAGGGGGGUAGAAUUCCAGGUGUAGCGGUGAAAUGCGUAGAGAUCUGGAGGAAUACCGGUGGCGAAGGCGGCCCCCUGGACAAAGACUGACGCUCAGGUGCGAAAGCGUGGGGAGCAAACAGGAUUAGAUACCCUGGUAGUCCACGCCGUAAACGAUGUCGAUUUGGAGGUUGUGCCCUUGAGGCGUGGCUUCCGGAGCUAACGCGUUAAAUCGACCGCCUGGGGAGUACGGCCGCAAGGUUAAAACUCAAAUGAAUUGACGGGGGCCCGCACAAGCGGUGGAGCAUGUGGUUUAAUUCGAUGCAACGCGAAGAACCUUACCUGGUCUUGACAUCCACAGAACUUUCCAGAGAUGGAUUGGUGCCUUCGGGAACUGUGAGACAGGUGCUGCAUGGCUGUCGUCAGCUCGUGUUGUGAAAUGUUGGGUUAAGUCCCGCAACGAGCGCAACCCUUAUCCUUUGUUGCCAGCGGUUAGGCCGGGAACUCAAAGGAGACUGCCAGUGAUAAACUGGAGGAAGGUGGGGAUGACGUCAAGUCAUCAUGGCCCUUACGACCAGGGCUACACACGUGCUACAAUGGCAUAUACAAAGAGAAGCGACCUCGCGAGAGCAAGCGGACCUCAUAAAGUAUGUCGUAGUCCGGAUUGGAGUCUGCAACUCGACUCCAUGAAGUCGGAAUCGCUAGUAAUCGUAGAUCAGAAUGCUACGGUGAAUACGUUCCCGGGCCU